AGCUCCAAUAGCGUAUAUUAAAGUUGUUGCGGUUAAAAAGCUCGUAGUUGGAUUUCGAUCGGGAACUGGUGGUCCAUCUUUUGGAUGUGCAUCUACAUAGGUCUUGGUCUCUUCUCAGUUCACGUUUCUGCGCUUGAUUGCGUGGUGCGGUGUCUGGGACUUUUACUUUGAGGAAAUUAGAGUGUUCACGGCAGGCAUACGCCUUGAAUAUAUUAGCAUGGAAUAAUACUAUAGGAUCUUGGUUCUAUUUUGUUGGUUUCUAGAGCUAAGAUAAUGAUUAAUAGGGACAAUUGGGGGCAUUCGUAUUGACGAGUCAGAGGUGAAAUUCUUGGAUUUCGUCACGACGAACUACUGCGAAAGCAUUUGCCAAGGAUGUUUUCA
rnacentral:rRNA from 1 species